CGGGGCAUGGCGCAGUCUGGGAGCGCACCUGCUUUGGGAGCAGGAGGUCGGAGGUUCAAAUCCUCUUGCCCCGACCA
rnacentral:tRNA from 1 species